ensembl:snRNA U6 U6 spliceosomal RNA
GCAACUUCAGUUAUGUUUGUACUAAAAUUGGGACGAUACAGAGAAGAUCAGCCGACUGGGCGCAGAGAUGACAUGCAAAUUCAUGGAGCGUUCCUCAUUUUU